rnacentral:rRNA from 1 species
UACGUAGGGUGCAAGCGUUGUCCGGAAUUAUUGGGCGUAAAGAGCUCGUAGGCGGUCUGUUACGUCGGCUGUGAAAUCCCGAGGCUCAACCUCGGGUCUGCAGUCGAUACGGGCAAACUAGAGUAUUGCAGGGGAGACUGGAAUUCCUGGUGUAGCGGUGAAAUGCGCAGAUAUCAGGAGGAACACCAGUGGCGAAGGCAGCUCUCUGGGACGGUACUGACGCUGAGACGCGAAAGCGUGGGGAGCGAACAGG